CCCUAGGCCCCUUCCUUCCAUAAGACCUACUCAGGACUCCACUGGGCUGCUGACUACUCACCCUCCCCUCAGGUCAUCUCCUGACCCGUACACAGUUAUGUCCACCCAGGGUCUGCUUGGACACCUGUGCCUGAUGUUCACCAGGGGCCAGAUGUCGUCCUCAGGCCUGAUGUCCACCUAGGGCCUGAUGACUGCCUUGGCCUAUGUCCCUCUGGGGGCCUUGUGUUCACCUGGGGACUGUAUCCAGCUGGGGCCUGAUGGCCUACUGGGUCUUGUUGUUCACCUAAGGCCUUGUGUCCACCUGGGGACUGGUGAUCACCUGGGGCCUGGGUGUCCACCUGAGGCCAGAGGUGCACCUAAGGCCUGAGUUUUCACCUGGGCCUGAUGAUCACCUGGGGACUGGGUGUGUGCCUUGGGUCUUUUCCCUUUUCCUGAACAGGGCUUGCAGUUUCCAAACCAGACACAAUCUCCCAGUUGGAGAAAGAAAAAGGAUCCUAGAUGAUAGUGAGACAAAUUUCAGGAAACUCCAUCCAAAUAAGUAAAUGAGAAUGAGGACAGGAUUCAUUGCAUGGUGGCAUGUGCCUGCAGUCCCAGCUACUCAAGAGGCUGAGGUGGGAGGAUCGCUUGAACUCAGGAGUUGAAGGCUGCAGUGGGUGAGGAUCACAACACUGAAUUCCAGCUGAGGUGACAGAAUGAGACCCUGUCUCUCUAAAAAACAAGCAAGCAAACAAACCAAAAACCACAGACAAACCAGACCCCUCUUAGCAGAAUACUUCCAUGAGGUAAUAAAAGCUUCACAGGUCCACAAGUUGAAAGUGUACCCCCAGGAGCUGCACUAAAUGAUUUGUACCCAUCUGCACCUGAUUUAGAACGUUUAGAAGGAGCUGUUUCAGGCCUCCUCCUCCUCCCGUAAUAACUUGCAGUCUUUCCUAUGUUAUAAUAAAGCUACAUUUUCUUCUGAAAACUGGC
rnacentral:lncRNA from 1 species